ACCCCAUUGGAAUUUUGUGGCUCAGUUGGUUAGAGCAUGGUGUUGGUAAUGCCAAGGUUGCAGGUUUGAUCCCCAUAUGGGACA